UACGUAGGGGGCAAGCGUUGUCCGGAUUUAUUGGGCGUAAAGAGCGUGUAGGCGGCCAAGUAGGUCCGGUGUGAAAACUCGAGGCUUAACCUCGAGAUGUCAUCGGAAACCAUUUGGCUUGAGUACAGAAGAGGAAAGCGGAAUUCCACGUGUAGCGGUGAAAUGCGUAGAGAUGUGGAGGAACACCAGUGGCGAAGGCGGCUUUCUGGUCUGUAACUGACGCUGAGGCGCGAAAGCGUGGGGAGCAAACAGG
rnacentral:rRNA from 1 species